rnacentral:rRNA from 1 species
UUGGGAAUCUUGGACAAUGGGGGAAACCCUGAUCCAGCCAUGCCGCGUGAGUGAUGAAGGCCUUCGGGUUGUAAACCUCUUUCGACGGGGACGAUAAUGACGGUACCCGUAGAAGAAGCUCCGGCUAACUUCGUGCCAGCAGCCGCGGUAAUACGAAGGGGGCUAGCGUUGUGCGGAAUUACUGGGCGUAAAGCGCGCGCAGGCGGCUAUCCAAGUCAGUGGUGAAAGCCCGGAGCUCAACGCCGGAACUGCCAUGGAAACUGUUUAGCUUGAGGACGAAGGGGGUGGGUGUAAUUCCCAGUGUAGGGGUGAAAUUCGUAAAUAUUGGGAAGAACACCAGUGGCGAGGGCGGCUCACUGGCUCGUAUCUGCCGCUCAGGCGGAAUAGGGUGGGGAUCAAACA